CUACAAUAAUGUAACCUUUACAUAACUCACAGCAAUGGCUGCGGCUUUAUUUCAGAUCAAGUCAACCACUCCUCCUCCGAGAGGACCCAAAUUACAAAUAUUUUAUUUCUACGUAUGCUAAUUUCUCCUAAUUGCUAUGGUAAAUUUUCAUCCACCCCCACCGGCUCAAACAGAACAAAAACCUCAUCUUUCAGGACCAAGUCUGCCCAACGGGCAGUAAGGCCAACCAAACCUCCUUCUGACGGUGCCACAGGCCACAGCAAUGUAGGGACCAACGUCGACAAAGAAGAACAAACAAGUACUGAAGGCCUGAUUUUCCAAACAAGUACAGGUAUCUGUUGAAGAAUGAUGGGCUGUUUGUGUUGGAGCUGUUACGGUGGCACGAGCAUUAGGGCCUGGCCACACAAUCAUGACGAUCUUGUGUGACAGUGGCAUGAGGCAUCUAAGUAAGUUUUUCAAUUCUGAGUACUUGUCUCAACAUGGCUUGACUCCUUCAGCAACUGGAUUGGAGUUUCUUGGCUUUAGUUGAAUUUUGUGUUUCAUUUUUUAUUUUUUGCACCUAAUAUAAUCACUAAAAACUGGUCUGUUUUGCUCGAGAGAUGAAAGUGUUUUCAUUUCACUAGUUGUGACACAAAUACUGAUGUAGUAGUAGAUCACACAAGAAACAUGUUUAGUGUUGUACGGUGUACUCGUUUUUUAUAGACAAGUAUGGAACACAAACUAGCUUGUACAUGAUAUGUUCAUGUUGUUCUUACCACGUUUUCUUUUCUUUAUGUCAA